ACUCCAGGAUAAACAAAAUCUCUGAUUGCUCUCUAGUAUCACUUUGAGCAAUGAAGGAUGCUCUUCUAUUAGGAAUUACCAAUAUAUAGGUGAGCAAUGAUUUAAAUAAGGAAGAAAAGGGUUUUAAACAUAAUUUAUUUUGUCACACGUCACAAGUGAUUGUUAGUGCGGGAAAACGGCGUCGUACGAAGGAUGGUUGACAAAAACAGAGAGUGUCCCUUUUCCUUGGGAAGGAAAGGAUGGAGGAGGAAUGUGGAGGAGAUAUAGUGAUGUCGACGUUGAUGGAAUCUGGGGUUUCGAUCCCUGGAGAUUUCUCCUCUGUGUCUCAGUUUACAUCGGAGGCUCUGACGUCGAUCUGCGCUCAGCUGCUUAAUCUGAUCGACCCAUCGGCGGCGGCGGCGAGUGAGAUGAUACCAGUAGUAGUAGUAGAUUCUCUUCCGGAAAGGUAUAUGAUGAUAUGCACCGAUAUAGCCCACUCCGUGAAGAACCUUGGCUACAUGGGCGACAUUAGUUAUCAUAAGUUUCUUCAUCCCUCUCAAGAUGACUCCUUUAGGUUGCUUACUUUCUUACUUGAGAGGCUUUCCAAUAAAAAGCAGCAAGGUCUCAAAGCUUCUUCUCUUCCUCCUGGUGGUGAUAUAGCUAGCAUGCCAAAGGUGGACGACACUUUCAGAGAUACUUCAGAUGAGACUUUUGAUAUGCAUUUACACAAGGUUGAAGCUGUCCUGAAAGAUCUUACCAUGACUAGCGAAAUCCCUCAGCCACCCAACUCUCAUGCUCAAAAUGCUUCAGCAGAUGGUUCUACCGCUGCUGAAUUCUUCUCACUGAGACAGUCAUCUGGAUAUGAACAACCUUCUUCUGUAGACCCGUCUGAGUCAGAGCAGCCAAAUUAUGAGACUGUUGAGUUACAGAACCAACAUAAUGUGCUCUUGGAGGAACUUGAAUCUGGAUCUUCAGAGCUAAGCAGUCUUGACAGUGAGUUGGAGUUGUUGAAUUUGGCUGCGGGGAUGUUGUUAUUGGAUGAAAAACAGCCUGGUGGGUUAUAUCAACAAGUAGCGGUCAAAAGGUGCAAUAUCAUGGAUCUGAAAAAACAAUGGGACGAUAUAAGGCUGACUUUGGAAGCUAAAAAGCUAUGUCUUUUGGACCAACUUCAUGUGGAGGAGGAGCCAGAGGCUAAAGACAAGUUCCAUAAGUUGAAAACGACUGAACUUGAUUUACAGUCUCUCUCAUCAGAAAUUCAAAAGAGGGAAGAGGAACGAUGUAAACUACAAACUGAACUUGAGAGGCAGCCAAAAGCAGCGCCACGGAAGUCUUAUAUCCAUGGGAUUAAAGAAAUAACGAAAAACAGCCGCAAACUGGAUAGUGACAUUCAGAGGAUUUCAGGGGAGACUAGGGAGCUACAAUUAGAGAGUAACUCCAUCCGAGAACGUUUGCACCGAUCAUAUGCUGUUGUGGAUGAGAUGGUUACAAGGGAACUGAAAAAGGAUCCAUCCAUACGACAGGUCUACAAGCUAGUGACCAGUAUCCACGGUAUUUUUGAGCAAAUCUCUGAAAAGAUCCUCAUGACUGAUCGGUUAAGAAGAGAAGCAGUUGACUAUGAGAAGAAGCUGGGUUCCAUCACAAGCCGGGGCAUGAGUCUGGAAAAAUUACAAGCCGACCUCGAUGCCAUCAGGCAAGAGAACCAAAGUCUUGAGAAACAACUGAAUUAAUGUGGUUUAUACUUCACUAUGAGGUUUGUAGAGUAUUCGAGGUUUAACAAAGAGCCAUCUGCUAGGGUGCUUUCAGGUUUUGAGUGUAUUUGUUUCAUAGAGAAUGAGUAAAAAGAUUUCUGAAUGCUAAAGAAAGACCAAAAAGUUAUUCAGCCAAGUCAUAUCUGAUAUAUGUUUGUAAGAGAAUACAAACUAAAGAAGAGACAUCAUCAGUUUCUAAUAACUAUUCCAUUGGGAUCAUCUUCCCAAACGUUCUUUA